GGCCGGGCUGGGGGGGCCCCGUCCCGCCGCCGCCGGCCCCGCCGAGCCAUAAAGCCCAUGGGGAGCCGGGCGGGCUGAGCACGGCGGCACCCGCGACCCCCCCAACAAGAUGACGUCCUCCACCAAGGUGUACUACAGCCAGACCACGCAGACCGAGGGCCGCCCGCUGAUGGCUCCGGGGCUGCGGCGGCGCCGGGUGCUGACCAAGGACGGGCGCAGCAACGUGCGCAUGGAGCACAUCUCGGACAAGCGCUUCCUGUACCUCAAGGACCUGUGGACCACCUUCAUCGACAUGCAGUGGCGCUACAAACUGCUCCUCUUCUCCGCCACCUUCGCCGGCACCUGGUUUGCCUUCGGCGUCGUCUGGUACCUGGUGGCCGUGGCCCACGGGGACCUGCUGGAGUUCGACCCCCCCGCCAACCACACGCCGUGCGUCAUGCAGGUCCACACCCUGACCGGGGCCUUCCUGUUCUCGCUGGAGUCUCAGACCACCAUCGGCUACGGGUUCCGCUACAUCAGCGAGGAGUGCCCGCUGGCCAUCGUGCUGCUCAUCGCCCAGCUCGUGCUCACCACCAUCCUCGAGAUCUUCAUCACCGGCACCUUCCUGGCCAAGAUCGCGCGGCCCAAGAAGCGCGCCGAGACCAUCAAGUUCAGCCAGAACGCCGUGGUGGCCCAGCACGACGGCAAGACCUGCCUGAUGAUCCGCGUGGCCAACAUGAGGAAGAGCCUCCUGAUCGGCUGCCAGGUCACGGGCAAGCUGCUGCAGACCCACCUCACCAAGGAGGGCGAGAGCGUGCGGCUCAACCAGCUCAACGUGGACUUCCAGGUGGACACGUCGUCAGAGAGCCCCUUCCUCAUCCUGCCGCUCACCUUCUACCACGUGGUGGACGAGGCCAGCCCGCUGCGGGACGCGGCCCUGCGCGCCGGCGACGGGGACUUCGAGCUCGUGGUGAUCCUCAGCGGCACCGUGGAGUCCACCAGCGCCACGUGCCAGGUGCGCACGUCCUACCUGCCCGAGGAGAUCCUCUGGGGCUACGAGUUCACGCCGGCCAUCUCGCUCUCGGCCAGCGGCAAGUACGUGGCCGACUUCAGCCUCUUCGACCGCGUGGUGAAGGCGGCGGUGCCGCCCCAGCGGUGCCACCGCGAGGCCCCGCCAAGGUUCGGGGACCCCGAGAAGGUGAAGCUGGAGGAGUCGCUGCGCGAGGCCGAGCGGGAAGGGGAGGGGGCCCCGCUCAGCGUCCGCAUCAGCAACGUCUGACGGGGGGAACCGGGCAAGGAGGGGGCACCCGGGGAGGGAGGCGGCACCAAGGGAUGGAGGUGACACCAAGGGAUGGAGGUGACACCGAGGGAGGGAGGUGACACCGAGGGAGGGAGGUGGCACUAAUGGAUGGAGGUGGCACUGAGGGAUGGAGGGGGCACUGAGGGAUGACGGUGGCACCAAGGGAUGGAGGUGACACCAGCCCUGGGGCAGCACUGACAGAUGGAGGGGGCACUUAUGGAUGGAGGGGGUACCAAGGGAUGGAAGUCACACUGAUUGAUGGAGGUGGCACUGAGGGAUGGAGGUGUCACCAGCCCUGGGGCGGCACUGAGGGAUGGAGGUGGCACCAACCCGCGGAGGUGGCACCAAGGGGGAUGGACGUGACACUGAUGGAUGGAAGUGACACUGGUAGAUGGAGGUGGCACUGACAGAUGGAGGUGACACCAGUCCUGGGGUGGCAGUAAGGGCUGGAGGUGGCACUGACGGAUGGAGGGGACACUGAUGGAUGGAGGUGGCACUGAGGGAUGAAG